rnacentral:pre_miRNA from 1 species
AAAGUACUCCCUCCGUCCCAAAAUUCAUGUCUUAGAUUUGUCUAGAUACAGAUGUAUCAAGUCACAUUUUAGUAUUAGAUACAUUCGUAUGUAGACAAAUCUAAGACAAGAAAUUUGGGACAGAGGGAGUAGUUG